ensembl:lncRNA
AUGCUUGGGGUUAAAUCUGUCUCACUGCAAGGAAAAGCAGCAGGGCUGACUUGGGAAAUGUCUCCUGGGAGCUGCACACAAUCCUGCUGCUGUCUGCUAUGCGAAGCACGACUGCUCAGCCACCCCCCAGAACAGCAGAAAUCCCCCCGGACCCACAGCUCCCAAUGGCCCUGGUGGGGAAAGAGACAUCACCAGGGCAAAAGGAGGGUUUUUGGUACAGGAAAGCUGCGUCUGCAAACUGCCCCGACAGCAGGGCUGAGGACUGUGCACAACUCAUCACACCUCACAGCUGUGCCCACGGGGCCGAUCCGGGCGCUUCUGAAGGAGGGUGCAGAGCUCUGCCCACGGAGCAGCGCCAGCACAGGUGGAAGCGCGGCCGGCAGCUUUCCCACACCGGGACAAAAUCGCAGCUCGGCGGUGCCAGCUGGAGCUGCUUCCCCAUCCCAGCAAACGACCCCGGACCUCCGCCCUCCAGAGGGGCGGCUCAGCCUCGCCCCCUUCCUCUGCCCAAAAGAGCCCCGGGGAGGCGGAGCGGCCGCUGCUGUGGGACAUCUCUGCCGUGCCCGGCUCCUUCGUGCCCAGGGAUGCUCCUGGCCCUCCCCGUACCCAGGUACUCCCAGAACCACGUGCCCGGUGCUCCCGGUCCCCGUUCUUCCCGCACCCCACGUUCCCCGUGCCGUCUCCCCAAUCUCCAUCCGACGCCAGGUGCGGCCCGGCCCCGCCCCGCUCCUCCUCUCCUCUCCUCUCCUCUCUUCUCUUCUCCUCUCCGCCCCGUCCCGUCCCGUCCCUCCUCCCCCGGGAAAGCGAAAGCUCGACGGGCGGAAGCAGAGCUCCCCGCAGCGCCGCACCGGGGCCGCUCCACGUCGGGGCCACCAUGGCCUCGUCCAUCGGCAGNNNNNNNNNNNNNNNNNNNNNNNNNNNNNNNNNNNNNNNNNNNNNNNNNNNNNNNNNNNNNNNNNNNNNNNNNNNNNNNNNNNNNNNNNNNNNNNNNNNNACAACAACCCAACACCCCAUGAACAUCUCAGCACCAAGCAAUGGGGACCUGAGCACCUCAGCAGUGCUGCGUGAGGGGGAAUUUGGAUGCCAAUUCGGGGGGUUCAGAUGGGGUUGGGUUGGUCCCAGCUGCCUGCAGACAACAGCUGGCAGGGUCGGGCGCAUCACAUCCAUCCCAUGAACGUGGCACACUGUUGGAGAAGGGGAGUGAGGAUGCAUCCCUUGUGGAUCACACCCACAGCUCGGGUUCUGCAGCGAGCCAACAGCUGCAGGCAGCUGCGGGGCUGUUGGUGGGCAGGUCAGUGUGCAGCCAGCCCUCUGUCCUGUGCUUGAUGGCAAAAUCUGGGAGUCCUACCAGUUGAUGGCAAAUGUGGCUCCUUUAGGGAAAAAAAAACCAACAAGCCUUUGCAGUGUCAAGAAAAAAAUUUAAAAAAGCUUUAAAAUGCGACCAGCACAUGACCGACCCACACAAGAUCCCAAACAAAAAUGAAAAGACUUCGUAUUUGGGAUCGUCUCCCAGGAAUUCUCUCUAAGCUGUGUCACAGCUGCUGAGCAUCUGCUGCACAUCCCCAAACGCACCCGGCGCAGUGCCCAGGGGCCGUGCACCCUAUAAAGGGCAGAACAGCAGGGGACGAGGCAUGCAGCACCCACAGCAACGUCCAGGCCGGGCUGUGUGUGUGUGUGUCACCCAGCAUCACUCAGCAGCAUCGUGGUGCUGCAUCCUUGGAGGAGCUCCAGGUCUCCCCUUUGUUUUGCUGCCCGUUUCUGCUCAGGCCGUUUUGUCUCAGACCACCGGACUGUGCUGCUCGGGGUGUCGCUCAUCCUAAUUAAUGCCCCGCAGAGAUGUCAGCCCACCCAGCGCUGGCACCAGCCACGCUUCUAAUUAACUUUCCUAAUGAAGAGGCCUCUUUCUGUGAGCAGAAGUAUUCUAGAAUGGCCCCUGUGAUUGAAGAGGAAGAGAAACCCUCUCCAUCUCAGCCAUGGCAGCUCGGAGCUGCUCUUCUUGUAGGGAAACUGAGGCAGGAGGCGUUCCCACACGGAAGCUGUGGGAGAGGAGCACCCCACACCCUGAUUCGCUUUCUUGGAUGUGCAUUUCUUGGCAGGAGCUGAGCUCUGGGUGCAGCCCCAGUUCCCAGGGCUGGCUCCAACAUGCUGCUGCAUCACACAAACCCUCCCUGCCAGCCCAGGUUUGCUCCUAUCCUGUAAGUCUCACCGUGCCUCCCAGCCCUCCAUCUCCCCUUCUGUUUGCCCACACUGAGCGUCCUGCCCCGGCCAUUCUGCAGCUCAGCCCAUUUUCUCCUUCCAAACCCCACAGCAAGAGCCUGGAAGACCUUGAGCAGCCUGCUGGGAGCCUGAUGUUCACCACAAAAUCCCAUUCUGUGCUUUUUAAAGGAACCUCCGAUACGAGGCCCAGCCUGGUUUGCGCAGGGCAGGCAGCUCACGCCACGUCCACCAGCAGCAACGUCUGCACGCCCUGCAGCAGCCAGCAGCCACAUUUACUCGGUCAAUAUUUGCAGCCUUUGCCAAAGCCUUAAGAAAUUCUACUCGGGCUGAUGGGGGAGCUCAUCCCCACUGGCAGACUCUCAGACACGCAGCUCAAUUUUGGCACAAUUUGGGCGUGCUGUUGUUGUUGUGUUUUUUUUUUAAAUAAGGAGUGCUGCUAAGAUUAG